CUACGGGUGGCAGCAGUAACGAAUCUUCCGCAAUGCGCGAAAGCGUGACGGGGCAAUGCCGCGUGCAGGAUGAAGCCCCUCGGGGUGUAAACUGCUGUCAGGGACUAGGAAUUUUGACCAACCCCAAAGGAAGGGCCGGCUAACUUCGUGCCAGCAGCCGCGGUAAUACGAAGGGCCCGAGCGUUAAUCGGAAUCACUGGGCUUAAAGCGUGCGCAGGCGGACGGGUAAGUACCUUGUGAAAUCCCACGGCUCAACCGUGGAACUGCAGGGUAUACUGCUCGUCUUGAGGCCAGUAGGGGUCGUCGGAACUGUAGGUGUAGCGGUGAAAUGCGUAGAUAUCUACAGGAGCGCCAAAGGUGAAGACAGACGACUGGGCUGGUUCUGACGCUCAUGCACGAAAGCGUGGGGAGCAAACAGGAUUAGAUACCCUCGUAGUC
rnacentral:rRNA from 1 species